rnacentral:rRNA from 1 species
AUUGAACGCUGGCGGCAUGCUUUACACAUGCAAGUCGGACGAGUGGCGAACGGGUGAGUAACGCAUCGGAACGUACCGAGUAAUGGGGGAUAACUGUCCGAAAGGACAGCUAAUACCGCAUAUUAUUCGAGCGGCCGAUGUCUGAUUAGCUGGUUGGCGGGGUAAAGACCCACCAAGGCGACGAUCAGUAGCGGGUCUGAGAGGAGGAUCGGCCAGACUGGGACUGAGAAACGGCCCAGACUCCGACGGGAGGCAGCAGUGGGGAAUUUUGGACAAUGGGCGCAAGCCUGAUCCAGCAAUGCCGCGUGUCUUAAGAAGGCCUUCGGGUUGUAAAGGACUUUUGUCAGGGAAGCGGUACCUGAAGAAUAAGCACCGGCUAACUACGUGCCAGCAGCCGCGGUAAUUC